UGCUCAGAUUAGCAUGUCAGAAUAGCUCCAUCUCCGAGUAAGGCUGCGCUGUGCUGUUCUGUGGUUUGCACCGAGCCGUGCUCAGGGCCAGUGGCACUGGUUUCCUGUGCCGGGGCCUCGCAUGGCAGUGGCUGCCAUAUUAGGUAGCGCAGACCUGCGUGACCCAGUCCCAGUUUGCCACUGCUCCUCAACUGCUGCUCUUCCCUUGGACUUUUUUUCUUUCCCAGCAUCACUGAUCUCCUUGCUGUUCCUCAGGAAUCUCAGCAUUUCCUGUCCUAGGACCCUGUUUGUCCAGUUACCUCUUUGGAAUGGUUUUCCUUAGGGUAGCCCCAUGGCUGACUCUGUAUGUCCUCUGGGCCUUUGCCCUGAUGCUGCCUUUUUAGUGGGCUCACCCCCUCCCCUUGACAUUCUUCAGCCUUGCCUGUAUCUCUUCAGGCAGUGUUUUCUUCUCCACCACUUAAUAUACUGCAUAUUUUUUUUUUGGUACUGGGAAUCAAACUCAGGCUCUCAUGCUUGCCAGGCAGGCAAUGUGCCACUGAGCUACAUCCCUGGCCCCAUAUUUCUUAUUAGUACAUUUUUCUCUCUCUCCCCUGUUGAAAUAUAAGCUCCAUAAGAACGGUGAUUUUUUUUUUUAUUAGUUUUGCUCCCUGCCGUAUUCCAGAGCAUAAAAUAGUGCAGGCACAUAUAACAAAUGGAAGGUGGUUUGUUGAAGAAUUAAUUGGAAUUAAUUAUCCAGAGUGAUUAUUAGUAAGAGCAGUAUAAUUGAGUAUGCUUUAUUGUUUCAGAAUAUCUUAGUAUCAAGCUUAGCAGCUUGAAGUUAUAGCUCAAGUUAGGAUAUUUUGAAAGACCUCACAAAGACGUAUAGAUCCUCAUGGUAGAAAAGUAUCCUAGAUUAUAGUCAUAGAUCUUGAUUCUUGCUUUUUAUAGUCACAUCCACCAGUUUCUGCAAAGGUUUUUGUUGAAAUCCAGUUCAGACAUUUCAGUUUUGCCUGCUGUUAGAUGUUCUCACAAACUCAUCAGAAAAUUUUGUAUAUUUAUAUAUGUUUAAUAAAUGGGUUCAAGACUCCAUUUUGGGAGAUUUUAAAAUAAGUUUGGAUAUUCUCAUUUGAGUGUGUGUAUAGAUAGGAGAUUUCAGAGAUGACGUCCUUACAUAGAGAUAGGCAACAUAAUCACAUAAUGGUGGAAAUGAUUUCUGAGAGCCUGUUUUUAAAAUGCUUUUUCAUGGAAUAGUGGCUUUCUUAGCCACUUAAAAAAUUCCACCUUCAACUUAAAGGGACAGAUUACAUGUUUGUUUGUUUGAAAAUAUUUGUGAAGUAGCAUUCUACUGACAGGCAUUCAUUACAAAAGAGGUCAGCAAUUUUUGAAAUACUUCCUUGAAAUAAAAAGUAUGAUUCCUCCUUGGGUUAGGCAGCUCUUUUUGUACUUUGCCACGAGGUAAUCAGCGCUGGAGUGGCCAGAUGUGUCUCAGGGCUCAGCCCCUCAUUGCUAAGGACCGUCGUUCAUUGUGUUGAAGAUGGCGUUGAGGUUUGCUUGACUGCACCCAUGGACACUGCUCCUGCCCUAAGCAGAACUCCUUUAUUCUAAAUGACAGUGACCACCCACACAAAUUUAAAGAGUGUACGUGUCAUGCAUUAAGUAAUAGUGGAACUUAAUUUCUCAUUUUAAAAAUAAUUAUAAAAAGGCCUUUCUCCUUCAUCUUCAUGGGUCUUCUUACACAGACAGCAGCAUUUCUUCUCUACUGGCCUGGCCUCCCGAGCCCACCUUCAGUCCACGUGAGGUUGGGUCUUGUCUUUCUGCUGAGUUUCACCAGUAUUUAUUGACCCAUAGUGCUGGCAACUGGAUCCAUUCUCUGACCCCAGCCAUAAAGUUACGUUUCUUGGGAAAGAAAGUGCAGUAGCCAUGUUUCUUUGGUAGCUGCCAGAGCCACGUUGUGGUAUUGAAGGCUUUUGUGACAUUAAGAAAAAGAGCUCUAUGGUCUUGUGCUGUUGACUGGCAUCUUUCUCACUCUGGCAGGGGACGAAUGUGGUGGCCAUUGAGCCACUGCCAUGUUUGAUUUAGGAAGUGGGUGUUAGUGUGGAAGGCAGCUGGCAAGGUGCCCGGAAGAACGGCCGUGGAGCUCGAGUCGCUGACGCCCUUCUUUGACAAAGUGGUGAGGAUUAAACUCAGGGACUGAACGCUGGUAGCAUGAGUUGCCAUACGCCAUGUCCUUCUCCAAAGGACUCCUGGCCUCCUGCUAUCACCACUGCUGCCCGCGGGUCAGAGGGACCCUGAGCUUCUGUCUGAGUGGGCUGAGAGGUGGAAGUCUCUGCUGCCUCCCUGUGGGCCUGUGUGUACUCCAGGGCAGUGGGAGCCGCAGCCAGCUGGGAGGCCCUGAGGGUCUGCACGCCCGCUUCCCUCCCACCUCCAGGCUGCGGCUGCCCCCCUUCCUCCUUUUCUGCUGCAGCAUGGACAGGUAAGGGCAGCGUCUUGCUCUUCUAUAGUUUAGCCUUGGGAGCUGUCAGAGAUUUGGUCUUUGACUUGCUGGGGAGGAUGAGCUAGCACGGUGGCAGCCUUCUGUCCCAGGGGUGAGUUAACUGAUUUCUGUCUCCUUUUGUGCCUCACGCACGGCUGCAGGGAAAAGCGACCCAUGCCCACGCCUCCAGGGCUCGCAGCUGGGUCCCUGCUUUUAGCCCAGAGGAGAGGAGAGUGGCGCGUUUGUGGCACCGUAGGUUACUUGUCCCUUUGAAAGUGCUGGGGGACCCCUUCUAGAAGCUGGAGUCAGGAGAGUGAGUUUGUGUUUGAUAAGUCCAGAUCAAAGGGAGGAGAGAGUGGCAGAAACCUCAGAGAGGUGUGGUGGGCGGGGAGGGGACUUGGAUCCUGCGGGCCCAUUCUGGUGUUUGCCCGGGACUUCGGGAGGCUCCGACCGUCCGCUUCACCGGCCCACACGUAUGGAUUCAGUGCUGCUUGGAACAUCGCUUCAGGAGAGGAGAGAAGCAUUCUAAAGCCUUCUGGGGUCCUGGAAAGCUCCUCAGUGGACUCAUCGAGGCGUGGCGGCAGAUCAGCAGGCCCUGGUGCUUGCUGGCCUUUGGAGAAAGGCAGGCUGGCAUCGCUGCUCGGAGCGCCUGUGCUGGAGCCCAGCCUGGGGCCGUGCUCUGCAUGGGUCCUGGAGGGCCUGAGCGUCUGCUCCUCUCCGAGGGAGAAACUUCGACCCCAUCCUCUGCAGAACCCACAGGACUGCAGGCCCAGGUGCACUCUGCGGGCUGGCGGCUGCCAGGCUCCGCUCCCCAUCUGCGUCUGCCUCUGCGUCACCCCUGCCAG
rnacentral:lncRNA from 1 species